rnacentral:rRNA from 1 species
AUGGCACUCGAGCUACUGGUAGUUGUUGCAGUCAUGUUGCACCUAGCCUCUACAUCAGCGCAGCCUGGCCCCGGAUGCCGAACGCGAUGUGGUGACGUCGACAUCCCUUACCCAUUUGGCAUUGGUGCUGGCUGUGCUAUUGAAGGCUUCGAGAUCAUUUGCCCGAGGACUGCCGAUGGAAUCGCCAAGCCGUUCAUGGUCAUUCAGAACGUGGAGGUUCUGGACAUCUCGGUGCCCCGUGGUCAAAUCCGAGUUUCCACGCCCGUGUCGACGUAAAUUACAAGAUCAAUGGAACAGAAUGCUUGGUCCCUUGACUUCUCGCGAAGUCCGUACCGCUUCUCCCAUGUACACAACAUGCUCAUAGUUAUUGGCUGCAACACACUCGCAUACAUCAAUGACUUCAGAAGCACUACAAGAUACACGACAGCGUGCGCAGCGGUGUGUGAGAGCCCGGCAGCCCUGACAAACGGUUCUUGUGUUGGUGCAGGCUGCUGCCAAAAUGAUAUGCCAAAGGGUUUAAGGAGCUAUAGAUUCAGUUUCUUUGAUGUUUAUGAUGAUUCCAAUACUACGCUUUUCAACCAAUGCAGCUAUGCUGCCGUGGUGGAGACACAGAUAUUUAGUUUCAGCUCGGAGUACAUAACGACUACAAGGUUCAAUGAUACCGAAAAGGGGCAGAAGCCGCUGGUGCUGGACUGGGCGAUUGGAAAUGCAACGUGUGAAAUGGCGAGAGACAUGCCUUCUUACGCGUGCCAUAGCAGGAAUAGCAUGUGUGUGGACUCAACCAACGACCCAGGUUAUAUAUGCAACUGCGCCGACGGAUAUGAAGGGAACCCUUACCUCUUUGACGGAUGCAGAGGCAAGUUCAGUUCUUUGUUCCCUAUGCCAAUGAAUGUGAGAAGAAUCCAAGUAUAUGCCCGAAGUCUGCAACAUGCCACAACACAAUAGGAGGGUAUCGCUGUUCAUGUUCUCCAGGCAGAAAGUUCGUAAUGGAAACAAAAUCUUGUAACCCAGACAUCACCCUAAUCAUAGGCAUUAGCAUUGGCGCUGUCGCUCUGGUGAUUAUCAUCUUCUGCAUACAUGUAAUAUUUGAGAGAAGAAAGCUUGCGAACGUCAAAAAUCAGUAUUUUCAGCAGCACGGAGGGAUGCUAUUGUUUGAGAAAAUGAAAUCAGAUCGGGGACUUUCAUUUACAGUGUUUAGUGAAGCAGAACUGGAACAGGCAACACAUAAAUUUGACAAAAGCCAGAUUCUUGGACAUGGAGGCCAUGGCACUGUGUACAAGGGGACAAUUAAGGAUAUCACUCCAGUGGCAGUUAAAAGGUGUUGGUGAUAGGCAGAAGAAGGAAUUCGGCAAAGAAAUACUGAUUCUUUCCCAGAUCAAUCACAAGAACAUUGUCAAGCUAUUGGGGUGUUGCCUUGAGGUGGAAGUCCCCAUGCUAGUAUAUGAGUUCAUCCCAAAAGGAACAUUUUUCGAUCUUAUUCAUGGCAAGAGCCGGAAACUGCACCUCUCUUUCAGUUCUCUUGUAAGGAUCGUCAAUGAGGCAGCUGAGGGGUUUGCAUUUUUACAUAACUAUGCAAACCCACCAAUUUUACUGGUGAUGUGAAAACCACUAACAUCCUUCUUGAUGAGAAUUACAUGGCAAAGGUAUCAGAUUUUGGUGCAUCUAUAUUAGCACCAACUGACAAAGCUCAGUUCGUUACAAUGGUUCAAGGGACAUGUGGUUAUCUGGACCCCGAGGAUAUGCAGACAUGUUGCUUGACAG